rnacentral:rRNA from 1 species
AUUGAACGCUGGCGGCAGGCUUAACACAUGCAAGUCGAGCGGAGAUGAGGUGCUUGCACCUUAUCUUAGCGGCGGACGGGUGAGUAAUGCUUAGGAAUCCGCCUAUUAGUGGGGGACAACAUUCCGAAAGGAAUGCUAAUACCGCAUACGUCCUACGGGAGAAAGCAGGGGAUCUUCGGACCUUGCGCUAAUAGAUGAGCCUAAGUCGGAUUAGCUAGUUGGUGGGGUAAUGGCCUACCAAGGCGACGAUCUGUAGCGGGUCUGAGAGGAUGAUCCGCCACACUGGGACUGAGACACGGGCCAGACUCCUACGGGAGGCAGCAGUGGGGAAUAUUGGACAAUGGGGGGAACCAUGAUCCAGCAAUGCCGCGUGUGUGAAGAAGGCCUUAUGGUUGUAAAGCACUUUAAGCGAGGAGGAGGCUACUGAGACUAAUACUCUUGGAUAGUGGACGUUACUCGCAGAAUAAGCACCGGCUAACUCUGUGCCAGCCGCCGCUGUAAGAC